rnacentral:tRNA from 2 species
GCCCUGGUAGCUCAGUUGGAUUAGAGCGUCCCCCUCCUAAGGGGAAGGUCAGAGGUUCAAUUCCUCUUCAGGGCACCA